UCACGGAUCUUUGGGCAGAUCGGACGGUUAGCAUCAACUGCGAAUUAGCUAAGCUUGCUCGGCUUCGUCUUCCACCACUGCUCGCCGCCGCCGACGACGAGGUACGCAAACCCUAGCCGCCGUCGAGCUCCGCGAGGCGAUGGCGAUGGCGAUGGCGAUCAGCGCACCACCCCUCCCUACGCUGCGUGUUCCUGGGAUGGCGACUCGACAUCUGGUCGUCUUCCGCCGCCUGAUCGACGAUCAGGAGAAAUGUUUCAACAAAGAAUAUCUUGGGCUCCAUUACCUGAUGAGAUCUUGUGUCAUGUUUUACAACUUCCAAGUUCUUAUGAGCGACUGAAUUUUGAUCUGGUGAAACUUUGUGCAUUCGUCUUGGUUAACUUUCGCGAGCUAAGCUGCUACGUAACGCUGCAUACCAAUAGAACACUCCUACACUCACAAUAAGUUGUUUUAGCUCACACAUCACCAAUUGCUAGUACUAGUUCGUUCCUGAGUUGAUUUAGAUAUAGAAAGUUCGGCAUGGUGCACUUUGAAAUCUAUGUGUAUAUUGCAACUUUGGUCGUGGUGCACUUUGGAAUCUCAUGUGUUUGAGUGGUUAUGUCUGCAAAGCCACAUGCACCAUCUUUUUAAUGAAUGAAAGUCAUUUGUUGGAUGCCCGGUCAUACACUUA